rnacentral:rRNA from 1 species
AGCGCAGACGGUUGAUUAAGUCUGAUGUGAAAGCCCGGAGCUCAACUCCGGAAUGGCAUUGGAAACUGGUUAACUUGAGUGCAGUAGAGGUAAGUGGAACUCCAUGUGUAGCGGUGGAAUGCGUAGAUAUAUGGAAGAACACCAGUGGCGAAGGCGGCUUACUGGACUGUAACUGACGUUGAGGCUCGAAAGUGUGGGUAGCAAACG